rnacentral:lncRNA from 1 species
AGGAUUAAAUGGGCUGGCAUUCAUAAGGCUCCUAGGACCUGCUUGGUGCUUGAACAGAAGUCAAAUGUGCUAAUUCGUGGUUUACAUGGAAUACCUCCAUUCCUGCCUGUACUCCUGUCUCCACCUGCUGCCACUGGAAGGGUUGCUUGGAGCUUUGCCAUAAUCUUUACCUUCAGCCAGGGAGAAAGGAGAAGGCUGCCCAAGGCAGGGAGUGCUUGGGGGAGCAUCCUGCAGGAAUGCGCUCUGUGGACUUUGCUCAGUUCAGACCAACAGGUGUUCAUCGCAUUCCAGGCCUGUUUGAUUCCAGGAAUGCACAGCUUCAGCAUGAUGCAGUCACAGUGCACUGGAGCAGGGAACACUGGGACGGAAGAAAUGAACCUUGCUCUCUCCCAUUCUCUGCCAGACUCUGGUCCAGAAGUGCACAGCGUUUGCAGCCACAGCCAGUGCCAGAGCCAGGUGUGACCCUUCAUCCCCACUUCCCCGGUGAGAAAACUGAGGCCCAAAGUGGACCAACGCCUAGUUAUUAUGCAUCGUGGAGGUGUCAGGAAAGGAGUGUGUGUGUGUGUGUGUCUCUCUCUGUGUGGGUGUCCAUGUCCGUGUAUGUCUGUGUAUGUCUCUGUGUUUGUCUUUGUGUGUGUCUGUGUGUAAUCCCUGUUGUCUUUCAUGUGUCUGUGUAUGUCUCUGUGUGUGUGUGUCUAUGUGUAUGUGCACAGACACACGUGUGCUCAGGGGUAGUGCAGGAAGAAGGACCUGCAGGAAAACGUUCUUCUUUUUACCCGAAGCCUGUGGCAAAUAUCCUUCCUUGGCUUCAAGGGCAGUCGACUGUCGGCUGUCAUGCGGUGGGGACAGCCUCGGACGGAGCACGCCAUGUGCAGCUCAGCGCGACGAUGAGUGCUCGCUCAGACUUUGGACAUCUCAUGUCUAAUGUAUUUGGACCUGCUUGUCUCUGUAAUGAAAAAAACAUGCUGCUUCUCAUGGAUAAUAACUUUGGACUUCCUGGACAGCUCUUUUGUUUUGUUUACGUUAGCAGAAAGUAUUUCACCCUUUAAAAACAUUACUCUCUCUUUUAUCUGUUUUACAGUAUUAAAAAUACAUCAAUGUGUUUAUAUUUAAAAUGGGAAAAGUCAAAACAUUUUUAUAGCAUCUUUUAAUCUUUGUUUAAAGGACAGUGGGAGUGGGGAAUAGCUUCUAGGUUAUGUUCAAUUUUGUUAGUUUCUGAAAGGACUUAUUUCUCUGUUAAGGAUUCCACACCUUUUGUGUUGGACAGAUGUUCAG